CAAAAAGGCUUUGUCGAAGUAGCCCUAAGCCUUGAAACUGAUCCUUGGUGGAAUCUACUACUGCAAGUAAGCACUGAAAGCAUUAGAUUUCUGAAAUGGAGUUCAUUUCAGUUGGAGAUUACAAUAAACAAAUGUUUGGAACAUUACAGACCUUAAUGAUGGAUUUCAGCACAGCCAAGCAGCAUGACUGGAAUUAAGUGGCAGAUUACACUAAAGCUAAUAAUUACAUCGAAGAAACCCAAACUACAAUCUUCCUGCAACCAUGUGCAGGAGAGCCUUGGCGCUGACAGGAGACCACUGGCAUCUCAUCUGCAGGCAGACAGAAACUCAUGCUGACCCUACUACAAGCCUGCAUUCCAAACCAGUCACACUUGGAUACCAAUGGCAUCCUGGACUUCAUCAGAAGAGGAGUGGCCAGCAGGGACAGGGAGGUGAUUGUCUCUCUCUACUAUUCCCACGUGAGGCUCCAUCUGGAACACUGCAUCCAGGUCUGGGGCCCCCAAUACAGAAAAGAUGUGGAGCUGUUGUAGAGGGUCCAAAGGAGAGCCACACAGAUGAUCAGAGGGCUGGAGCACCUCCCCUGUGAAGACAGACUGAAGGAGCCAGGCUCAUUCAUGCUGGGG
ensembl:lncRNA